rnacentral:rRNA from 1 species
UAAGGAAUCUUGCGCAAUGGGCGAAAGCCUGACGCAGCGACACCGCGUGAGGGAUGAAGGCCUUCGGGUUGUAAACCUCUGUCAGGGGGAACGAAACUCCGGCUGGCGAAUAACCGGUCGGACUGACGGUACCUCCAAAGGAAGCGCCGGCUAACUCCGUGCCAGCAGCCGCGGUAAGACGGAGGGCGCAAACGUUGUUCGGAAUCACUGGGCGUAAAGGGCGCGUAGGCGGAUCGGUAAGUCAGACGUGAAAUCCCGGGGCUCAACUCCGGGCCUGCGUUUGAAACUGCCGUUCUAGAGUGCAGGAGAGGAAGGCGGAAUUCCAGGUGUAGCGGUGGAAUGCGUAGAUAUCUGGAAGAACACCAGUGGCGAAGGCGGCCUUCUGGACUGACACUGACGCUGAGGCGCGAAAGCUAGGGGAGCAAACAG